GCUCUCCAUCACAAGGUAUGCUAGUGUAGUCCCAGAGCUGAGCUCAAACGUUCUAGUCUUUCUCCUUCUUGAAAAGGGAAUUCAUAUGCCCCCUAUGAAUUUGGGUCAAGCCAGGUGCCUUGCUUUGGCAAGUGUAAUGCAGGAGAAAGUGGUAUGCCAGAAACCACGUUGGAGCUUCCCUUCCCUCCAUAAGAGCACCUCUCUGUAUUUCAGACAAUGGAGACUCUGUAAGUCUGGUCUUAAGCAAAAGAACGUAAUUGUUGGUAGACAACCUCACAUCUUCUCUUCCUCUUUGACGUAAUGGUGGAACCUGGGUGUUGGAAUGGCAGAAAAAAAGAUGGAAGCUGCCUGGGUUGCUAAGUUACCUCUUGGAAGAUAGCUGCCUUGUGGAGCUGUUGGGCUUAUGUCAGAUUUGCAUGAGCAUGAAAUAAAUUGUUGUGUAUUAAGACACUGAAA